rnacentral:rRNA from 1 species
AUGAACGCUGGCGGCGUGCCUCAUCCAUGCAAGUCGCGCGAACGGACGAGAAGCUUGCUUCUCUGAUGUUAGCGGCGGACGGGUGAGUAACACGUGGAUAACCUACCUAUAAGACUGGGAUAACUUCGGGAAACCGGAGCUAAUACCGGAUGAUAUUUUGAACCGCAUGGUUCAAAAGUGAAAGACGGUCUUGCUGUCACUUAUAGAUGGAUCCGCGCUGCAUUAGCUAGUUGGUAAGGUAACGGCUUACCAAGGCAACGAUGCAUAGCCGACCUGAGAGGGUGAUCGGCCACACUGGAACUGAGACACGGUCCAGACUCCUACGGGAGGCAGCAGUAGGGAAUCUUCCGCAAUGGGCGAAAGCCUGACGGAGCAACGCCGCGUGAGUGAUGAAGGUCUUCGGAUCGUAAAACUCUGUUAUUAGGGAAGAACAUAUGUGUAAGUAACUGUGCACAUCUUGACGGUACCUAAUCAGAAAGCCACGGCUAACUACGU